rnacentral:tRNA from 1 species
GGGGAUAUGGUUUAGUGGUAUAAUGCUUCCUUAGCAAAGCCAGUCUGUAUUGCAGCUGGUGUUUGCAACAAUGGAAGAGGUCCCGAGUUCGAUUCUUGGUGUCUCCA